rnacentral:tRNA from 1 species
GGCCCCAUCGUCUAAUGGUUAGGAUCCAUGGUUUUCAUCCAUGUUAUAGGAGUUCAAAUCUCCUUGGGGUCACCA